rnacentral:rRNA from 1 species
AUAAGAGGUCCCGCCUGCCCAGUGACUACAUGUUCAACGGCCGCGGUAUUUUGACCGUGCUAAGGUAGCGUAAUCACUUGUCUCUUAAUUGGGGACCAGUAUGAAUGGCACCACGAAGGCUUAACUGUCUCCUUUUUCCUGUCAAUGAAAUUGAUCUCCCCGUGCAGAAGCGGGGAUAACCCCAUAAGACGAGAAGACCCUAUGGAGCUUUAGGCUCCAGAGCAGACUAUGUUUAAUACACCUAAAAUAAAAGACAAAACCGAUUGAACCCUGCUCUAUAUGCCUUUGGUUGGGGUGACCAUGGGGAAACAAAAAACCCCCACGCGGACUGGGAAAACUAACCCUCCAUACAACCCUAGGGCUACAACCCUAAGUAACAAAAUUUCUGACCAAUUAAAAGAUCCGGCACAGCCGAUCAACGAACCCAGUUACCCUAGGGAUAACAGCGCAAUCCCCUUUCAGAGUCCAUAUCGACAAGGGGGUUUACGACCUCGAUGUUGGAUCAGGACAUCCUAUUGGUGCAGCAGCUAUUAAGGGUUCGUUUGUUCAACGAUU